UGAGAGGGAAAUUGGCAUGGAUUUAUGUCCAGUAGCUCUGGGAGGGAUCUUGGGGAUCACCUUCUGUAUCUCCUCAUUUUACAAAGGAAAGCUCAAGGCCUAGAGCAAUGUGCGCCCCCUCCCUCCUUGUCCAGAACCAUGCCCUUUGAGGUGGGCACCUUUUACGCGUAUUUCAGUCCCAUGCCUUUGUUUGCUUGUCCCUGUCUUCCAUGACCAAACAAACCUCUCCCAUCCUCCUCCUGAGGGCGUCUUGUCUGUCUCAUUGUGGCCUGUGAAGAAGCUGAGCUCUCCUCUGGGUGGUAGCCUCAGACCUCACUUUUGGCUUGAAUACAGUUCUUUGAGGAUGCCCCUAUAAUUCCCCUACAUUUAGCUUUUUUCUCACUGCUGAGCAUGGAGUACCGAAGACCUCCCUGGCCUGGAGGGAUAUCCCAAAGGGCAGCCUGCCACUGACCUCCCUGAGCAGGCUGUGCUUUUCCCUGCAUCUAGAAAGGCCAGGCUUGCCUACUAAAGAUACUCCUUACACUUAUCCCUGAGUAAAUGUGUGCCAGGCCUGCUCCUAACAGCAGUGUCAAGGUCUGCAGGGGGCCCAGGGCAGAGGUGCAGGUUCCUGUUUACAUAUGCUCUACAUUCAAGAGUAGGGUGGGCCAGGGUGCCUGCUCUCAUUGUCUGCUGCUUCGUUUCUAUAGAAGCCCUUGUUGCUAAGUUACCACAGUCCCUUCCAGGCAGCAGUUAGAGCUGAGGAAGGGGAGAGGCACAGAUGGCAUCAUGGUCCUAUACAAGCAGUACACAAGGCCUUAGGCCAAAAGCUUUUGUUUAGGAGGAGAAUUUGAUCUCACUGAUUCAUCUAUUCAUUUGUCCAUCCAGCAAAUAUUUAUUAAAACUUUCUACCUGCCAGGCUCCUACCUGUUGGGCUUUAUGCCAGGAAACGAGGAAUCAGGAGUGAGUCCAUCUCUCCAGUCUUACUGGCAGCCUACUUUAGUCCAUAUUAACAAAGCUCCAGCUAUCCAGCGCCCUAAGAAUGGGUAUACAAAGGAUUCCUGUUUCCUACCAUUGAGGCAAGGAGCAGAUGCAAUGUGCAAAGAAAGGUCUUUACACAAAGCUAUGAAGAGAUUGUCUGGCCUCAUGGGAGAAACACAAAUUUAAGAUUGUGGAAAGAAGAUGUGCCUGUU
rnacentral:lncRNA from 13 species